UGUUGUGUUUUGCUUUAGAGCGAGCUUAGGUCAACAAGGCCUGUAAGGGAGAGGAAAAGUUCCGACCACAGGUCUGCAGACCCUCUCUGAGUUUUUCCGUACGCCCUCCGUCCUUUCUGGACUUUAGAAAGGGCAUUUCUCAACCCUUCCCUUUUCCCGUAAGUUUAACCUUCCCGUCCCGAAAGGGAAACCCUCUGUGGUCUCUCUUCAACCCAGUCAAAAACAGUUGUUGCCUUGACGACUCUUUCUAACGUAAGACAAAAGCUGGGCCCUGAAGGAGGAGGCGGCAGUGAUUUUUUGAUAGAGGGCCACAAAGACUCAGUGUAACCGAAAGAGCUUCUCUUGAGGAACUAAAUGAAAACGAAGAUGCGGCCGAAGUUGAAUACAGGACUGUCAAGAUGGUUCAGUGGGUAAAGACGCUUGCUGCCAAGCCGGACAGCCUGGGUUCAAACCCCACAGGAUGGAAGAGGAGACUCUUCCCUGCCAGUUGUUGGAUCUACACUUGCGCGGUGGCAUUUGUGGACACAGAUUCACACGCAAAAUAAACACACGCAAAAUAAUUUUUAAAUAAAAAAUGAGAUGACUCAUCAGGUCACCUGCUUCCAGCCCUGGUGACCUGAGUUCCAUCCCCAGGACCCACAUGGGGGAAAGAGAGAAUUCACUUCUGCAGACUGUCCUCUGACCUCCACUUGCGUGCCACAGUGCACGUGUACCCACACACGCGUGCGCGCGCACGCGCACACACACACACACACACACACACACACACCAAAGUGAAUAAAAUAUAAUUAGAUUUUUUUUUUCCCAAGCAAAAUGUUGGAAUUCUUAUCCACUUUGUGGUGGUGUUUUCACUGUGGCAAUUAUUUGGCAUUUGCUCUUGUAUUGGUUUUUCAUUUUCCCCUUUUCUAAACGUCUUUCUUUUGUGGGAGAGGGAGUUGUACGCACAUUGUCGGUGUGUAAAAUGUGAAAAAGCUCACGUGGGGAUAAUCACUGCAGUGGUCACCCACAGCUCAGCAACAUUCAGAGUCACGUGCAUCGUAUAUUCCCUUUUUUUAUCCUAAUGGGCCUGAGGUCUACUGUUUAUUUAUUUAUUUUUGGAGAUGGGGGUCUUACUUUAUAGUCCAAGGCUAGCCUCUAAUUCACUGUGUAGUUCAGGUUACCCUUGUACUUGAGGUAAUCUUCCUGCUUCAGCCUCUUGGAUGUUGGGAUUGGGAUUACAGCCACCUUAACCAGCUGUCUUAUUUAUUUUCAUUUAAUAAUUAUUAUCUUAUUGUUUUAAUUUUAAUAAUAAAAUUUCUUGUGGUAUUGGGGAUCAAACCCAGGGCUUUGUACUCUACCAAUGGCUGUACGCCUAGACCAAUACACUGUUUCAAUUUCUGACAGAAAGCUGGUUAUUUUUCUGAGUCUAUAACAGGUGAAUACCAUAUCUCUAUCACUAUAUAGUAUCAAA